UGAAUACGAGAUGCUACGGCGUCGAAGCAGUCUAUGUCAUACUUCCAAGAAAAGCUUGCACUGUCAUAAACAAAUAAUGCCUGUACCAUAACCGACACAGGUGGGUAGGUAGAGUAUACUAAGGGGCGCGAGAUAACUCUCUCUAAGGAACUCGGCAAAAUGACUCCGUAACUUCGGGAGAAGGAGUGCCUUAUUUAUAAGGUUGCAAUAACAAGAUCCAAGCAACUGUUUACCAAAAACACAGGUCUCCGCUAAGUCGUAAGACGAUGUAUGGGGGCUGACGCCUGCCCAGUGCCAGAAGGUUAAAGAAGUUGGUUAGCAUCCGCGAAGCUGAUAACUGAAGCCCUGGUGAACGGCGGCCGUAACAAUAACGGUCCUAAGGUAGCGAAAUUCCUUGUCGGGUAAGUUCCGACCCGCACGAAAGGCGUAAUGAUUUGGAUACUGUCUCGGAGAGGGGCUCGGUGAAAUAGACUUGUCUGUGAAGAUGCGGACUACCUGCACCAGGACAGAAAGACCCUAUGAAGCUUUACUGUAACCUGAAAUUGAAAUUGACUUUACUUGCGCAGUAUAGGUGGGAGGCGUUGAGAAUAUUCUUGCGGGAUUAUUGGAGCCAUCAGUGAGAUACCACUCUUGUAAUGUUAGAUUUCUAACUUUGUAUCAUUAUCUGGUCAAAGAACAGUUUCAGGCGGGCAGUUUGACUGGGGCGGUCGCCUCCUAAACGGUAACGGAGGCGCACAAAGGUUUCCUCUGAACGGGUAGAAAUCGUAUCUAGAGUGUAAAGGCAUAAGGAAGCUUGACUGUGAGACCUACAAGUCGAGCAGGGACGAAAGUCGGUCUUAGUGAUCUGACGGUGCUGAGUGGAAAGGCCGUCACUCAACGGAUAAAAGUUACUCUAGGAUAACAGGCUGAUCUCCCCCAAGAGUUCACAUCGACGGGGAGGUUUGGCACCUCGAUGUCGGCUCAUCGCAUCCUGGGGCGGUAGUACGUCCCAAGGGUUGGGCUGUUCGCCCAUGAAAGCGGUACGCGAGCUGGGUUCAGAACGUCGUGAGACAGUUCGGUCCAUAUCCGGUGUAGGCGUUAGAAUAUUGAGAGGAGCCUUCUUUAGUACGAGAGGACCGAGAAGGACAUACCUCUGGUGUACCAGUUAUCGUGCCAACGGUAAACGCUGGGUAGCUAUGUGUGGAGUGGAUAACCGCUGAAAGCAUCUAAGUGGGAAGCCCACCUCAAGAUAAGUAUUCUC
rnacentral:rRNA from 1 species